AACGGAUAAAAGGUACGCCGGGGAUAACAGGCUGAUACCCCCCAAGAGUCCACAUCGACGGGGAGGUUUGGCACCUCGAUGUCGGCUCAUCACAUCCUGGGGCUGAAGGAGGUCCCAAGGGUUGGGCUGUUCGCCCAUUAAAGCGGUACGCGAGCUGGGUUUAGAACGUCGUGAGACAGUUCGGUCCCUAUCCGCUGCGCGCGUAGGAAGUUUGAGAGGAUCUGACCCUAGUACGAGAGGACCGG
rnacentral:rRNA from 14 species